CUGCACUAGUCGGGGAGCCAGCGGUGCCCUGUGACCUGCAAGCCGCUACAGCAGGGAUGAAUUCCCGGCCGAGGAGGAGCGCUGUGCCGUCCGGCCGUCGUAUGUGGCGUUGACGAUCCGGUCUUGCGCAACGGAGGCCCGUGAACCAUGUCAGGCGGGGAACCGAGCAGCAUUAAGCGGGUACCUUUGUGUGCCGCGAGGGUGCCGGGUUUGAGCUGGCAGCGACGGUAUCGGGUGUAGCGUUUCCUUCAGAGUCGGGUGUGCAG
rnacentral:SRP_RNA from 1 species